rnacentral:rRNA from 1 species
GAUGAACGCUGGCGGCGUGCCUAAUACAUGCAAGUCGAGCGAACAGACGAGGAGCUUGCUCCUCUGACGUUAGCGGCGGACGGGUGAGUAACACGUGGAUAACCUACCUAUAAGACUGGGAUAACUUCGGGAAACCGGAGCUAAUACCGGAUAAUAUAUUGAACCGCAUGGUUCAAUAGUGAAAGACGGCUUUGCUGUCACUUAUAGAUGGAUCCGCGCCGCAUUAGCUAGUUGGUAAGGUAACGGCUUACCAAGGCAACGAUGCGUAGCCGACCUGAGAGGGUGAUCGGCCACACUGGAACUGGGACACGGUCCAGACUCCUACGGGAGGCAGCAGUAGGGAAUCUUCCGCAAUGGGCGAAAGCUUGACGGAGCAACGCCGCGUGAGUGAUGAAGGUCUUCGGAUCGUAAAACUCUGUUAUUAGGGAAGAACAAAUGUGGAAGUAACUAUGCACGUCUUGACGGUACCUAAUCAGAAAGCCACGGCUAACUACGUG